GUCCUAGUAGCUCAGCUGGAUAGAGCAACGGCCUUCUAAGCCGUAGGUCGGGAGUUCGAAUCUCUCCUGGGACGUCA
rnacentral:tRNA from 1 species